rnacentral:lncRNA from 1 species
GACAACUGAGAGGAAGGAGGUACCACGGGCACUCUCUCGCGAGAGGGCCGCAGAGCCGCCUUUGACGGGGGCGUGUACCUGGAGAGCAACGUGACAUCUGUUUGAGCAGAUGAAUAUGCCAUUGGGAAAGUCAAGGACUGUCGGAGAGGAGGACAUGGCAGACCUUAACUAAAGUGAGGGGGACAGUAGAGCACUAAAAGUUCUAGGAAAGGAGAUGAACUGCUUAUUCCAUCAGAUGAAAAUAUAGUCAGAACAGAUGAGUAGUAGAACUUAAACAUGCCCGGAGUUGCCA